UGGUGUUUAAACAGUUUUUCGGUGGACACAGUACAUAUCCUGAAUCUGCUGUUGAUGUACCAAUUGCUUGUCUAAUCUUUUGGAUUUUUUCUGUGAAGAAUUUGGCAAAGUCAUUGCAGGCCAUGGUUGAAUGAAGUUCAGCUGGAACUUCAUUUCAUACUGGAAAAAUAGAAACAAAUGAGGUGUGAUUUACAAAAUAACAUGAUCGCAAGGUUCAAUGAAUGUCAUUUACGUUUUAGAGAAACAAUAUAAAAGAUCAAUAGGAGGAUUUAUUGGAUGCCUAUGUAGCUGGGAUAUAAUAUACUGAGUGUGAACAUUCUCAAAACUGUAUUGUAUAUAGUUUUUUUUUUUUUAUUGUGUAAAUUUAAUUUUUGUAAAACUAAGGUUCCACAUGUCACUGUUGAAGUGAGGCAUUGAUCAGUGUGACACCACUUGUAAACAUGCUGCAUGUGUGGGGGUUCCCAGCCAGUGCUGCAUGGACUCCACACUGGGAUGAGCAGAGGCGUGCUGUUGCUGUGUGACACUGAUUUUGCUGCUCCACUUUGUGUUUUAGGUAUGUGUAAAUGUAUAGUUUUUGUUUUCUGUGUAUAAUGAGUUCAUGAUCUGAGGCUGCACACUGAAUAGCAUUUUCAGCCAUGUUGGUAAAAGUUAAAGUUGUUUGAAUAUGUAUUGUGUAUUUGAUCCAUCUUAGUGGGAAUUUGAAUAUUAUAAGUUAUUAUUAGUGGCUUAUUUUUGACUGCACCUUGCUUCAUCUUUGUCUCUGUUUUACCCCACUAUAACGUUUGAUUUAAAUGUGGCUGUUGAGAAAAACCACACCGUUGUUUUGAUAGAUUGUAUUUUCUUUUAUAUAUUGUAAGCAGUGCUGCAUGGACUCCACACUGGGAUGAGCAGAGGUGUGCUGUUGCUGUGUGACACUGAUUUUGCUGCUCCACUUUGUGUUUUAGAAAUAAAUCCAGUUUCCAGCCAGUCUGUGUCUGUCGUCACAACGCAGUCAACCGUUCGAAAUCUGUUACACCUACAUGGAACAAAGUACAUCUGACAUCUCAUAUAAGUUUACAAUGAAAAUGAAUGCACAGCUACAUGUCUACUAAAGAAAUAAUGGGAUGUUUUAUUAUGUACAUUAUAUGCAUAUUGUCAACAUGAGCAAGAGUCUGAUCUUCAUUUAUUUAGAUUUUCAAUGUAUUAGCAUUAUUUUGAAGCUUAAAGCAAAUAAACUAAAUUCUGGCUACAACUCCAAUGUUUAGAGUUCCUCUCAGACAAUAAUGUGGAACUUUAUCAUAUUCUGGAAAUUUGAGGAAAUGUUCUAAGAUUUUUUUUUUUUUUAAAUUAGGCUUUACAAUGAGAGAUGUAAAGAUGGUCUGAAGUGUGUUUGUAUAGGAUGCGUGGACUGUUUCUAAAUAGGCUAUGUUGCAUUUAUUAAUUCUGGAAUAUUUUGAAAGAACUCUACAUUAAAGAGCAAGUCCACAGAGUGGAAUUUCCUGAUUGUAUUAGAAGUUCUCA